GAAGCAUCCACGUGCUCAAGACCUGGAAGACUGCACCGCUCAAUGCACUCAGACGUCCACUUGCUGGGCCGUGGAAUG
rnacentral:snRNA from 1 species